AUCACAGUAUUCACAAAAAAAAGAAAAAAAAAAAGAAGGGCAAACCACAGUGAGUGUUGAAAAACGAACCGGACCGGUCAGUUCAAAUCGAAGACAAAUAAAUCGCCUUCUAUCUAGCCAUCCUCCGCCGUGCCGUUCGUCCGGUUCAGAUCGCGCAUUGAUUGCACACUGCAGCGAGUUCGAAUUCGAAACUUGAGCUCCAUCGGCGCUGUUCAAUUUGAUUCCCUUGAUUUGGGCUUCAACCUUUGCUGAACAAGAUCACUGAAAUAGGAGAGAAGUAUGAUAAAACUUCUUCUACACAGGGGGAUGUCGUUGGAGGAAACUCUUGCGAGGUGGUUGAUAUGACAUUGGAUUGCUUUGUUUGGUGGGAACAAACGGAGUGUUUUGGAAGGCCAGUAUCUGGGCGGCCCAAAAGCUUAAGCCCAAACCCCUCUUACCCUCUUCACGUCAGCCCUACUGGCAAGACAACACCAACUCCUAUGCCUUGGGCGACCACCCCCAAGGUGAGACAUCAAAAUGUCUCACCUUGGGAUACCAACCCUGCAAGAUACCACCCCAGGUGUCAUAAGCGGUAAUCCCCUCUUUGCAGCCGCAGCAACCAAUGCUGCGAUCACUUGCAUAAUGACUGCGCCACUGUCACCACAGCAGUGUCAGCCAGGUCUAACCUUCCGAGAGUUGACUUCUACCACCAACUCACCCCAAGCAAGUACCUCACCCCCUAUAAAUAACCCCCUCAAAUUAGAGAGGGACAUCUUAUGUAUCGUUACCCUGUCAAUUUACAAGUCUAAGCACAUUCACUAAACCCCCUCCCCACAUCAUUUGUUAGUUUAGUUCAUACUUGGGCCAACAUCGCUUAGCUUGGUCUUUACUGUGCUAGUAGUGUAAUCCAUACAUCGAUCAUCAUCCCCUAAGGGAACAUAUUGGGCUUGUAGACCCCAACGGUACACGGGGGAAAGUAUUUGCAAGAGGCACUCUGACACUUAAAUUAGUGUUUGAUUAAUGAGUUUUAGUAAAGAUGGAUAAGAUAUCAUACUUAGCAUCAAGCUUUCAUUAUAUAUUGAUUGGAUGUCGUGUUUAUGCGGC